CUAGCCUAUCUGGUUAAAUAAAGGUGAAAUAAAAAAUAAAAAAACAUGCCUGCAGUGGAGCUGGAAUGUCCUCCACCCAAUGCCAUCUGCAGUGUGUGUAGAGUUUUGGAGGAGGCUGAGCUUUGGCGCUGUGGGGAUUGUGGCUCAGAUAAAUAUUCCUGUGCCACCUGUGCUGUGAGAACACACAGCACUCCCAACAUUGUACACCAGUUGGAGUUAUGGAAGUCAGGGCAGUUCGUCCCAUGUGUCCCGGUGGGCCUACAAUGGGAGUGGAAGAGACAAUGUGACCAUGACUGUCAAAGCCAGUACAACCGUCUUUUGACAGUUGUUGACGUUAGAGGACGAGCUCAUGACGUCUGGCUAAGGCUGUGAGCUGGAACCUGUCACCCUGAUCUGCCACAGACUCUACCUUUCCACCCCCCGAGAGACUGUCAGGAAGUUGGUGCCACUGACCUCGGACAGAACAAAGUGUCCUCUCUGUCCACAGGGGUGGGUGGGGAUGCGCUGUGAUCCAAACCCAAAACCCAGAAACUGGACAUAACUGGUGUGUUUAGGAUGGCGUGCAGGCACGAGCAUCCGCUGAAGUUCCUGAACCUGAAGAGAGGAGAGAAGUAUGUUGAUUGAUGCAUGUGGGUGGGUGGAUGGAUGGAUGCUUCAGAUGUGUAGCUGGUGUAUUGCUGAUCUAUUUUAGUUAUAUAUAACAUUGGCUACAAUGACUGAUGUUGAACAGUCAUUUCCGGCUUGCAAAUGCACUAUUUUAAGGCUUGUGUAAAUGUCCUGCUUAAUAUAAUGUUUGUGUCAUCAUCACAUAUCAACUGCCUUAUAGUUAAAAAACAUUUCAACUUCAAAAUGUCUCUUUUGGCUAGCUUUUGCUACAGCCUAUGUC